rnacentral:rRNA from 1 species
CCUACGGGAGGCAGCAGUGGGGGAUAUUGCACAAUGGGGGGAACCCUGAUGCAGCGACGCCGCGUGGGUGAAGAAGCGCCUCGGCGCGUAAAGCCCUGUCAGCAGGGAAGAAAAUGACGGUACCUGAAGAAGAAGCCCCGGCUAACUACGUGCCAGCAGCCGCGGUAAUACGUAGGGGGCAAGCGUUAUCCGGAUUUACUGGGUGUAAAGGGGGCGCAGACGGCGAUGCAAGCCAGGAGUGAAAGCCCGGGGACCAACCCCGGGACUGCGCGUGGAACUGCGUGGCUGGAGUGCAGGAGGGGCAGGCGGAAUUCCUGGUGUAGCGGUGAAAUGCGUAGAUAUCAGGAGGAACACCGGUGGCGAAGGCGGCCUGCUGGACUGCAACUGACGUUGAGGCCCGAAAGCGUGGGGAGCAAACAGGAUUAGAUACCCCGGUAGUC